AGACCUCAAUGGAGGUGCAUUGGUGAUGGACUCCUGCCUGUCUUCUCUGUGGGAUCCAUGGGAUACUCCCAUGAUCCUAGGAAAGAGCAGACAUAAACCAGCCUAAAGAAACAUCAAACACCACCCCAGGAAUAAACCACGAAAUCCGUAAGGAUCUAAAUGUAUCUGCAGGAUUCCUGAGUCCUGCUUAGAUGUUGUAGGGAACUCCUAUGAGACCCAGGGAUGAAGAGACACAGUGAGGUUAAGGAACCAGCCAUCUUUCCCUGACACCCACUUCUGUGGUCACAGGUACAGCCCGCCUGUGUUUCCCAGAAUUACUCUCUCCCAGGU